CACGUAGGGUGCGAGCGUUGUCCGGAAUUAUUGGGCGUAAAGAGCUCGUAGGCGGUGUGUCGCGUCGGCCGUGAAAACCUGCAGCUUAACUGUGGGCUUGCGGUCGAUACGGGCAUCACUGGAGUUCGGCAGGGGAGACUGGAAUUCCUGGUGUAGCGGUGAAAUGCGCAGAUAUCAGGAGGAACACCGGUGGCGAAGGCGGCAUCCUGGACCAACACUGACGCUGAUGAGCGAAAGCCAGGGGAGCAAACGGG
rnacentral:rRNA from 1 species